UCCCUAGUCACUCCUCCCUCUGUCACUAGUCGCCCCCACCCUCUCUGUGUCACUAGUCACACCCUCCCUCACUCUGUCACUAGAGUGAAGGGGUGACAGGUGACAGAGUGAGGGAAGGGGUGACUAGUGGCAGAGUGAGGGAAGGAAGGGGUGACUAGUGACAGUGAGGAAGGGGGUGACACGGUGACAGAGUGAGGGAGGGGGUGACACAGUAACAGAGUGAAGGAGGGGGUGACUGUCACUAGUCACCCCAUCCCUCCCUCUGUCACUAAUCAUCACCUCCCUCACUCUGUCACUAGUCACCCCUUCCCUCCCUCACUCUGUCACUAGUCACUCCCUCCCUCUCUAUGACACUAAUCACCCCCUCCCUCACUCUGUCACUAGAGUGAGGGGGUGACAGGUCAC
rnacentral:sRNA from 1 species